AAAAACGAAAAGGAAGGAAGGAGGGGAGGGGAGGGGAGGGAUGGUGGGGUGGGUGGACAGCUCACCAGAGUAGUGGCAAUUAUUGCAUUUCAUCUGCUUCCCAAAUGUGAAUUCCCUACCAGAAAAUAAGAAAAACAUUUGGUGCCACAUCCGCUUGUUUUGUAUGCUCUUUCUUUUUUUUUCGUUUUUCUUUUUGUUUGAAAAAUGCAACAAAAACGGCACCAAUGCGCAGCGGUGACCCACUUUACGCCGUCUGUCUCUUUUCGGAUCUUCUUCGGUUUAUGCGGGGAAUUUAAACCGGCGUUCCCAAGAAAGAGAGAGAAAGAAAGAGAGAAACCCAACUGUGGCGUCGGCAUAAAAAAAAUGUUUUUUGAAAUUAAAAUAAGCUUUUAAUCUGUGCGCGAGUGCGUGUUUGUGUGCCUUUUCCUAUCACUCCCGGUUGAGUCAUUUCCCCAAUGCGAGUCUCGUCGGUCUGGAGCUCCCAGAUUGGUCCCGUUCACUGCUCCACGCAGGGAAAGCCCGUUUCAUUUAGUGCUGCGGGAAAGAGGAGCGUCCCAGAGGUUACCUAAUCGAUCCGCUUGAACCAUCCCCACCAGCAAAACGCAUCUGUUUCUGCCUCACGGGUGUGCGCCUGUGAUUUUGUUUUUUGUUUUUUUCAGAAUCAGAUAUUUGAGGCUUCCCCACCGCUUGCUCUUUUCUUCCCAUUUCUGACACGUUAGAAGCACAAAGUCCAACGUGUUUUCCUUCGGGAGAUUUUGUGCAAGCGAAUCAACACAAAAGUUGAGCGUGUAAUGGGAAACUGAAAAGACAAAGAUGCGUUACAUUUCUCCCGGGUUUUUUUCUUCUUCUUCUUCUUCCCAGAAAUAAAAGACGCGCAUGUUUUACACUGAUACCCCAAAAUAAACUACAGUUAUAUCGGGGUUUUUUUAGAGAAGCAUCUGGUAAAGACCAUCUCAAUCGCAUUAAAAAUACAGAGAAAAAAAAAACUAAACAAAUCUGUGAAGGAGCUGCAGGAAUCCACAGGUCAACAGGUAGUUGCCUUCUUAGCGACAAGAAGAAUGCCAUUACUGAAAGAAAUACGUUUUGCUUGCAGUUUGGCACAAACAAAGCCACAGCAGGCACACAAAAUGUUUUGGUGCUCAAGUCAGAUAAAGGCAAAGAAGUUAAAGCCGUUUUGGUUAAACAUAAAAUACCAUGUUUGGGGUGAACCAACACUUCACAUUACUCUGUAGAUAUAAACCAAUGAGACAUGCAUCACUCUGUGGAGAGGAUGGGGGGGGGGUUAGCAAGGACAGAGACGACAGUCAGAAUUAAUGGGAAGUUGGAUAAAGCUAAACAUACAGGGCAAUCAUGGAAGGAAACCCUUUAGAAGUCAGUUUAGCUCCAAGCAUGCAGAUGUGUUAGAAUGGCCUAGCUAAAGUCCAGAAGAUUUUGAAACUGCUGUUUACAUCAAAUCUGGCUGAGCAUGACAUUUUGACUCUUAGGGGUUGAAUGCAAAUGCAUAGAAGAUCAUAAGUGAAAACCAUAAGUCGUUUUCUUUCUGCUUCAAAUUAAUGCACCACUUUGUGUCCAUCACAUAAAAUGUCGGUAAAAUUAUCUUCAUUUUGCUGCAAUUUGAGAAAAAUUUGAAAACCUCAAUGGGUGUGAACGAGGCGAGGCGCUGUGUGUUCACAGCUACCUAAAAAUCAAAGUUUUCACCCCAUGACUGGUUUAUGGACCAUGACCAAAGCAGAACCAUUCAGCCAGUUUGAAUUUCAAAAAUGAACAGAGGAAUGCACUGGGAUCAGGGGGGUCCCGGGGAAAUGAAGUGAGAGGAAAGUCGUGUGGGAAAACAACAGAAAAAGAGAGAAACACAUGUUUACUGAAACGGUCCUUGGCUGACAUGAAAGGCCUGGCUGGCAGUGAAAUGAGGGAUGCAGACAGAUCGGAAAGGGUUGCAAAGAUACAACUCUUUAACAGCUGCGGAGUGAUUUACUUAACCCAAAUGCCGGGUUUCUGCUUUUUGGACAGGACUGGAGUAGUUUUAGCAAAGCAGUGGAUGAAAACAUUUUGACCCAGUUUGUUCUAAUAGAAAGGAAAGUUGGAGAAUCAUUGUUUUCCGUUCCCCUUUGAACUAUGAAACCUGAUUGGACGUCAACAAACCUCUGCAACAACCAAAUCAAUCCAGCUGAAAAAAAAUUUGUUUUAAUCCCAAGGCAAAAUUAAAUGUUGUAACUCUUAAUAUACAAGUUAGAACCUAUUUUAAGCUUUCUUUAAGAGUAAAAAAUGUUUUAUUUUUUUUUAAAGCAGUUGAAUUGAACGUUGCAGAGGUUUGGUGGAGUGAUGACCAAAGAAAAUGACAAUAUGGUAAAAGCAUGUGUUAUGGUCAUGCUAAUUACAAUAAUUAGUUGAAUUAUGUUAACAUCAGUUGAUUGUGUCAAUGAUUUUAGUUGACAAUAGAGAAUGAGUGCAUCAGUGUUUUCCCUGCUAAUUAGUGCAAGCCAGCGUUACAGUCACAUUUUGACCAAAGAACUGAUCAUAAUGUCAAUGAUAUAAUAACAAUAGGCUUUUACCCACUUAGCAAUUAGCUUAAACUGAAGUUUGCCAUGUUCAGACUUCAUAAUUUGGCAAAGCAAACUGGUCAUAAACGUAACAUAGACAUGUAACAUUAUGCAGUGCUAAAUGUUCCCCCAUAGCAACAGUUCUCUCCGGAUAUUCCAGCUUUAACUUUUGCUAGUUUAAAAUUGCGUUAAGUAACUUUUAUUUAAAAACAUAUAUAUGUUUUUUUAAUAUUUGUUAAAGUGGUCACAAUGUCCUGACAGUAUAAUAGAAUACAAAAUAAUCUGUGAAAAGAUCAAGCUCCUCUGCCUUCUCGCUGUGGUCCUAGAGCCAUCUGCAGAAAUGCAUUGCUCAAUCAGAAACAACCAAUCAGAACUGGUAGGAGGGUGCUAGCGCGGUCAAUCACUCUGGUGUAUGUGCUGUUCACAGCUCUCUGCUCCACUACAGUUAGUUCCCUGCAACUUUGCUGUCGGGUUCCAGGGUUUUUUGUUUUUCUUUGUGGGUUUUAUUUGUUGUUUGGGUUCUUCUGUUCCACCACCGUUUCUCCACCAGAUGGUGCCAGAGGCUGCCUACCUGGAGAGGUGUUCCCACGAUUCCACGCACCUGUCUUCAAUCAUCUCAUUAUCUCCAGGAGCAUCAGAGAAGCUGACUGCCAGCACUGCGACACCUGAGUGUUAGCCUCCUACGGUGUUUUUCCCUGUGAAGCUGUGGAUCCUCCUCGUGAUGAUCUAGUCCUGGCUUUGGAUUUCGCUUCCUUCGUGACGCCGUGGAUCUUACCCACUGGUUACCCGAGUUCCACCAUCCUCCUCUCCUGUUGAUCAUCAGAGUCUCCUGUUUUCCCCGGCUGGCAGUCGCACCGCUCCUCUGACUCCUCUCUCGCCAGGAACUUACCUGUCCGCCCUCCACCGCAGCCAGCCCAUCUCCCACCAGACUCCGCUCAGCUGAGCCACCCUCUGGAACCUGGACCACUCUAGGAUUUUCUAUAGGGCCGCUGCCCUGAACCCACAGUCGAAACCCCCCCGGACCGAAAUCAUCAUCUCCACAAUGUGCCAACAUCUUCAAGAAUCCACCCGCAGGACCACACACACACUCAUUCUGAUUUAUCUUUACAUUUCAAUAAACAGUCUUUAACUGA